AAAAUUGGGAAGAAUUUUAUUAAUGAAUGUAAAUUUGUAAAUGGGAAAACGUCAAUUGCUAAAUCAUGACGUUAAAGGACAAAUGUCAUAAAUUACAUAAAUUUUAUUUUCACCAUGGGAGGACACGAGAACACGCAAAAUCUUAAAGACGAUACUACACAGGUUUUUGAUUUUCGUCCAGUACAAUGUUCCGUGUAAAACGUUUGUUACUAACAGAAUUCCGGACAUGAAGUGUUGCUUUCGACUGUCGUUGUGGAUAUAGUCAGACGUGACAAAUGAAACAUUAAAGAAAAAGCUACGCAGCUAGUUUGAGUAGUGGAUGAGGCUGUGUAUGAAAGAAAAUGUGGACGUGGAGUGAAGUUAAAAGGGCUUUAUAAUCGUUAAUAAUGGUCAGGAGGAAUUAGGAAGACUUUGAGAAAAGAAAGCAAAUGGGGAAUGAAAGAUCUUAGACAACGUUGAGAACUAUAAUUCUUAGAAAACACUUUGUUUCUGCUUGUGGAUAAGCAGAUUUGUUACCAAGUUACGCCAAUGUGAUGAAACAUGGUAGAGACAAAGAAGUACAAACGAUAUGAAGGAGGAAGUUGAGAAGGACGUAGAAAAGUUUGGCUACAUAUAUGCGAAUUUUAUUUUCACGAAGUGAGGACACGAGAACACGCAAAAUCUUAUAGACGAUUCUACACGUGUUUGGAUUUUCGUUAAGUACAAUGUACAGUAUGAAAGGUUUGUUAGUAACAGAAUUCGGGAAAGAAGUGUUGCUUUCGACUGUUAUGGUGAGACGUGUCAAAGCAACCAAUUAAAAGAAAAGCUACGCAGCUGGUUUGAGUAGUCGAUGAGGCUAUGUAUGAAACAAAAUGUGAACGUGGAAUGAAGUUAAAAGGAAUCAAUAACAGUUAAUAAUGGUCGGCAGUAAUUAUAAAGACUUUGAGAAAAGAAAGCAUAUAAUGAUGAUGAUGAUGAAACUUUAUUAAAAGAGGGUAACACGUGACACAACAAGUGUGAAAAACUUGUGGCCCUCA